rnacentral:lncRNA from 1 species
CUGCUGCCCUCCAUCUAAGACGUGACUUGCUCUUCCUUGCCUUCCGCCAUGAUUGUGAGGCCUCCCCAGGCAAGUGAACUCUGCAGUUACCAUCCUCAAAUACAAAAGUAAUUGAUACUCAGCAAUGAAAGCUGCAUGUGCAUGUAGGGGAGAGAAGGAGGUUUCACCAGACUGACAAAUGGAGUCAUGGUUCUGGGAAGGAGCAGAUGGAAGAGCCACUGACAAGGCCUCUUAUUUAAAGAGUGCCUGAAGUGAGGAAGCAAACCCCCAAAUCAUCUGGGAUGGUAUGAACUGAACUCUGGACCGCAACAUGAUGGAAAGGAGGAGCUGGGGUCCCAAGGGCAGUCCAGACAACCUGAACCUGUGACACUCACCCUGCCCACACACUCUCAGAGCUGCAGCUUUCACGGGGGUGACAUGAAUGCUUGUAAAUGAGCUUGCUGAAUGGGAGACCAAGAACGAUGAUAUUGAGCUGUUACUACAUGCCAGACAUUUAACCCUUUCAUCCAGGUUAUCUCAAUCAUUCCUUACAGAAAGGCUUUUGAGAUGUCCUUGCAACUGGAGGUGCCAUAUGAUACAGUUCUGCCCAAAGACAAGAAAGUGAAUGUCUGUUGAGGGCUUCCUAUAAGGCCAAUACAUACAGGUGUUCCCAACAACAGGACACAGCAAGAAGAUGGCUGUCUAUGAACCUGAAUAUGUCUAGCCCUCACCAGACACUGAAUCUGAGAGAACCUUGAUCUUGGAUUUCCAGCCUCCAGAGUUGUGAGAGCUAAAUUUCUGUUGUUUGUAAACCACCCAGUCUAUGGUAUUCUGUUACAGCAGCCUGAACAGGCUAAUAUAAAGACAAUAAGGAGAAUUUGCUAGCAAGAUGGAAGCCACAAUCUUUUGUAACCUAAUCACAGAAGUGACAGCCUAUCACUUUUGCCUUAUUGUGUUUAUUAGAAGCAAGUCACUAGGUCUAGCCUACCCUCAGGGGAAAGAAAUUCCACCAGGGCACAAAUGCCAGGAGAUGGGUAUCAGUGGAGACCAUCUGAGAAGUCUGCCUACUAAGGCUUUCCAUGUCUACCUCCGAACAAGGGAAUCUAUCAUGAUUAUUGCAUGUGCCCUGAGCACUGGGUUUAGAUGACAUUAAGCAGAAUCAAGGUAAUUGUUCAGGAAACCUUCAGCGGGAGAGUCUGCCCUGUGUCUAGUUUCUCUUUUGCUUCAGAAAAUACUUACUUGAAUUGUUUCUAACUUAAUAAUACUUUGUGUUACCUGAGGGUCUCUAAAGGCUUGGUAAGCAUCAGAACAAAAAAUUUCUUCUCCACUUUCUAGGAGUUCUUAGAUCAUUAUUUUGCUGGUACAGUAACUGGCUCUCCUAAUCCACUGUGAAGCUUGCUUAUUUACUGUGCGGAUGGUUUGGACCAUCAAAAGUGUAGAGUUAAAAUAACCAGGGGAGAGAAUAUUAGACCCAGAAUCAAAGUAGCCUAAAGUUACCUCUUUAGGUACCUUGUUUCUCCCAUGUGCAAACUGUAAGCUCAAGUGUCUUUUCUCAGGUGGUCACAAUGUAGUUUGAGACUAGAGGGAUUGUGGAUGAAGAUGCUCUGAGUUAUUUAGAAGAGAUGCACUACAUCAGUAAUGGAUGGUUGUUAUUUGAUUAAAAUGGCUAAUUUUAAAAUCUUCAUUUUCUCUCAGUUAUAUUGCUCCUAUGUUAUGUCAAACACUGCUCAUGUCUUGCCUUGUUCCCCUCUCCCUCUGUUCUGCAUGCUACAGCUGUAAUAGUGUUUAUGAGAUGCUAAACUGACCAUAUCACUCCUCUACUAAAACUUUACAAUGAUAUGCAAAGGUCAUCAUACUAGAGUGUCAAGUGAACAAAGCAGAGAGUUAUAUACACAUAUUGCUUUUUUUUUUUUUUUUUUUUUGAGACGGAGUCUGGCUCCGUGCCCAGGCUGGAGUGCAGUGACGCGAUCUCGGCUCACCACAACCUCCGCCUCCCUGGUUCAAGCGAUUCUCCUGCCUCAGCCUCCCAAGGAGUUGGGACUACAGGUGAAGUUCCCCACAAACAGAUGCUGAGAUGAGGAUUUGUGUGGAA